UGUGCCUCCCACUUUUUAAGGGACCAAAAGUAAUGGGACAGAUUAACAGUGAUAAGUCAAACUUUCACUUUUUAAUACAUGGUUGCAAAUCAUUUGCAGUCAAUUACAGCCUAAAGUCUGGAACGCAUAGACAUCACCAGACGCUGGGUUUCAUCCCUGGUGAUGCUCUACCAGGCCUCUACUGCAACUGUCUUCAGUUCCUGCUUGUUCUUGGGGCAUUUUCCCUUCAGUUUUGUCUUAAUCAAGUGAAAU
rnacentral:lncRNA from 1 species